GACGAACGCUGGCGGCGUGCUUAACACAUGCAAGUCGAACGGAAAGGCCCUGCUUUUGUGGGGUGCUCGAGUGGCGAACGGGUGAGUAACACGUGAGUAACCUGCCCUUUACUUUGGGAUAACUUCAGGAAACUGGGGCUAAUACCGGAUAGGAGCUCCUGCUGCAUGGUGGGGGUUGGAAAGUUUCGGCGGUUGGGGAUGGACUCGCGGCUUAUCAGCUUGUUGGUGUAGUAGUGGCUUACCAAGGCUUUGACGGGUAGCCGGCCUGAGAGGGUGACCGGCCACAGUGGGACUGAGAGACGGACCAGACUCCAACGGGAGGCAGCAGUGGGGAAUAUUGCAAAAUGGGGGGAAGCCAGAUGCAGAAACGCCGCGAGCGGGAUGACGGCCUUCGGGUUGUAAACCGCUUUCGCAUGUGACGAAGAGUGAGUGACGGUAAUGGGUAAAGAAGCACCGGCUAACUACGUG
rnacentral:rRNA from 1 species